rnacentral:rRNA from 1 species
AGAUUGAACGCUGGCGGCAUGCCUUACACAUGCAAGUCGAACGGCAGCACGGGAGCAAUCCUGGUGGCGAGUGGCGAACGGGUGAGUAAUAUAUCGGAACGUGCCCAGUCGUGGGGGAUAACGCAGCGAAAGCUGUGCUAAUACCGCAUACGAUCUAUGGAUGAAAGCGGGGGAUCGCAAGACCUCGCGCGAUUGGAGCGGCCGAUAUCAGAUUAGCUAGUUGGUGGGGUAAAAGCCUACCAAGGCGACGAUCUGUAGCUGGUCUGAGAGGACGACCAGCCACACUGGAACUGAGACACGGUCCAGCUCCUACGGGAGCAGCAGGU